AUGGAGAACCGAAAGAAUGCCGGCCUCAGGAAGAGGAAGCUUCCGAACAAUGGGACGGUGCAGGAGGAGCCUGAUAUCAAGAAGAUGUGCCAAGCCCUGAAGGAGAUGGAAUGUGAGCUCCAGAACCUCCGGGACGACAACAACCAGCUCCGCGACGAGCUCCUUGGCAAAGACCGUCAGCUUGCGGAGACACGGACAGUUCUAGUUGACAGGGAGCACAAGCUUUCGAACACCCAGGCACUUCUAGUUGACAGGGAGCAGCAGCUUGCGGCCCAGACACUUGUUGUUGACACAAAGGAGUUUGAAACUGAAAUUUUAAGGCUUAAACGUCUCUUGGCUGAGAAGAAUGAUACAAAUAAUCAUGCAGCUCUAGUGUCUGCUGAGACAACAACUGAAUUCAUACAGAAGCAAACUCCAGUUUCACCUGCAAGGACACCAGUGUCAAACAGAACGAAUACAGUCCAGUCCAGUGUGAAAGCCAUUGCCCACCAUGGUAGCUUUCAGGAUGAAGCUAGAGAGCAGGAUUGCUGUCGAAGAGGUGUUUGCAGCUCAGGGAGUGGGACAGAUGAAAGUUCUCGUUCUUGUGUGUAUCAUAUGCUGGUGGAAUCUUUAGUGGGCAUGAAGUUUUCAUUGAAGGAUGAAGCAGAAGGACUCUCACUUUCAAUCUAUCAUGAAGCUACUGGUUAUGAUUUCAGCCUUACGUGGUUGGAGCAAGCUGAUGGCGGUGAAUGGGCCUACAAAUACUCCUCGCUGGGCACCCUGGAGGAGAUGGCUUUGAAGUGGAUGAAAGUGCAGGACAUACGGUUCAGCAUGGACAUGUUCCCCAUGUUCUUCGAGCGGAUAUCGAGCCUCCUCAAGCGAGGCCGAUGA
rnacentral:rRNA from 1 species